ACAUGUGGAGCGCUUAGAAGUGAGAAUGCCGGUGUGAGUAGCGAAAGACGGGUGAGAAUCCCGUCCACCGAUUGACUAAGGUUUCCAGAGGAAGGCUCGUCCGCUCUGGGUUAGUCGGGUCCUAAGCUGAGGCCGACAGGCGUAGGCGAUGGAUAACAGGUUGAUAUUCCUGUACCACCUAUAAUCGUUUUAAUCGAUGGGGGGACGCAGUAGGAUAGGCGAAGCGUGCGAUUGGAUUGCACGUCUAAGCAGUAAGGCUGAGUAUUAGGCAAAUCCGGUACUCAUUAAGGCUGAGCUGUGAUGGGGAGAAGACAUUGUGUCUUCGAGUCGUUGAUUUCACACUGCCGAGAAAAGCCUCUAGAUAGAAAAUAGGUGCCCGUACCGCAAACCGACACAGGUAGUCAAGAUGAGAAUUCUAAGGUGAGCGAGCGAACUCUCGUUAAGGAACUCGGCAAAAUGACCCCGUAACUUCGGGAGAAGGGGUGCUCUUUAGGGUUAACGC
rnacentral:rRNA from 1 species